rnacentral:rRNA from 1 species
GAGUUUGAUCAUGGCUCAGGAUGAACGCUAGCGGCAGGCUUAACACAUGCAAGUCGAGGGGUAUAGUUUUUCGGAACUAGAGACCGGCGCACGGGUGCGUAACGCGUAUGCAACCUACCUUUUACAGGGGGAUAGCCCAGAGAAAUUUGGAUUAAUACCCCAUGGUAUAUUACUAUCGCAUGAUAGUUUUAUUAAAGUUACAACGGUAAAAGAUGGGCAUGCGUCCCAUUAGCUAGAUGGUAAGGUAACGGCUUACCAUGGCAACGAUGGGUAGGGGUCCUGAGAGGGAGAUCCCCCACACUGGUACUGAGACACGGACCAGACUCCUACGGGAGGCAGCAGUGAGGAAUAUUGGUCAAUGGGCGCAAGCCUGAACCAGCCAUGCCCGCGUGCAGGAUGACGGUCCUAUGGAUUGUAAACUUCUUUUAUCUGGACGAAAAAGGCUUUCCUAAGUCGUCUGACGGUACCAGAUGAAUAAGCACCGGCUAACUCCGUG